GAGGAAAAGAAACCAACAGGGAUUCCCCUAGUAACGGCGAGUGAAGCGGGAACAGCUCAAAUUUGAAAUCUGGCCCUUGGGUCCGAGUUGUAAUUUGCAGAGGAUGCUUUUGGUGCGGUGCCUUCCGAGUUCCCUGGAACGGGACGCCUUAGAGGGUGAGAGCCCCGUACGGUUGGCCACCAAGCCUGUGUAAAGCUCCUUCGACGAGUCGAGUAGUUUGGGAAUGCUGCUCAAAAUGGGAGGUAUAUUUCUUCUAAAGCUAAAUACUGGCCAGAGACCGAUAGCGCACAAGUAGAGUGAUCGAAAGAUGAAAAGCACUUUGAAAAGAGGGUUAAAUAGCACGUGAAAUUGUUGAAAGGGAAGGAUUUAUGACCAGACUUUUUCUGGGGGGAUCAUCCGGUGUUCUCACCGGUGCACUUCCCCCAGUUGAGGCCAGCAUCGGUUUCUGCCGGGGGAUAAAAGCUUUGGGAAUGUGGCUCCUUCGGGAGUGUUAUAGCCCGUUGCAUAAUACCCUGGCGGGGACCGAGGUUCGCGCAUUGCAAGGAUGCUGGCGUAAUGGUUAUUAAUCACCCGUCUUGAAACACGGACCAAGGAGUCGAACAUUUGUGCGAGUGUUUGGGUGUUAAACCCUCACGCGUAAUGAAAGUGAACGGAGGUGAGAGCCUUUAGGGGUGCAUCAUCGACCGAUCCUGAUGUCUUCGGAUGGAUUUGAGUAAGAGCAUAACUGUUCGGACCCGAAAGAUGGUGAACUAUGCGUGGAUAGGGUGAAGCCAGAGGAAACUCUGGUGGAGGCUCGCAGCGGUUCUGACGUGCAAAUCGAUCGUCAAAUCUGCGCAUGGGGGCGAAAGACUAAUCGAACCAUCUAGUAGCUGGUUACCGCCGA
rnacentral:rRNA from 2 species